rnacentral:lncRNA from 1 species
GGUAUCAAGACAGGUAAACCAGUCUGGACAUGUAAAAAUGAUACCAAAAGGGUGAGAACUGUUUGUAGAGACUCGUGUCCUUGGUUUGUUUUUGCAUCAAUUGAGAGGGCCCUUGGUACAUCAGAUUUGGUGGUAAAGACAAUGCAUGAUGUGCAUGAGAAUUGCAAUCACACUUGGAAGAAUAAAAACAUGACUUCUACGUGUGUGACAACUCGUAAAAUUUCUUAUAUUUUUCUUAAAAAUUUUCUUUUAUUUGGAAAUUAUUACUUUAUAAUGGCCCUACUACCCAAUCACCCCACAAUAAGUGUAAAUGAACAUAGAAUUAAGGAUUUUUCCUUUCGUUUUCAAGUUAUCGAAAAUUAGUGUUUUUACGCCUAUCCGUAGUGUGACUAUCCGGUACAGAGGGUGGAUCAAAUUUGGUGAUUAAGAGUGAGUUUUAGUGAUAUUAAAUGUGUGAUUAGAAGUGAUAAUAAUAAGUUAGUGAAUUAUAAGUUAAAAUCCUAGUAUACGCGAUUUAAGAAAAAUCGGCUCGAACCGACGGGUAUCGUUUGCUACCGAUUGAACCCACCAUUUGACCACCAUUUUUAUCAAGUUAAUCUCAUUGUUAUUGGAGCUUAAAUAUCAGCUCUAAAGCUGAUCAAAGUGGCCGAAAAUUUUGACCAAGGAAAAUAAAAAAAAUUGAGAUGGAAAUUGGUAGUGAUAAGUAGCACUAAUCCAAGAACCUUUGACCCAAACUAUGACUAAACCUUAAAACCAUCUUGGAGCUUCAUUCUUCUUUAUUUUUUUCAGCUUGUGGCCGAACCUAGGAGAGAAAAAAAGAAGAGAAAGAACUUCAAUUUCAUCUUGGGUUUUGCUUGAUUGAGUGAGAAAAACAAAAUUCUAAACCGAUUAAAUCUUUCUUUGAGCACUUGGAAAGUUUGGUGUGUAAAAGGUUACAAGGAGAGGUGGUGGAUAACUCUUCCAAGCAUCUUUGAGAGGUAUAUUGGCUGCCACAUUUAUUUCCCUUAAUCUUGUUUAAGUUGAGUAGUAACUUGUAAUCUUGCUUGUGAUGCCUAAGUCAAGUGAUUUUGAUGAUUGAGGUGAUGAAUUUUGAGUUAGGGUUUUGAAUAAUUCACUUAUAAUUCUUUCGUUUGGAUGGUAUAUGGUAUAUAUAAUCUUGUAUAGGAGGUUGUAGUAGUGAUUUAAGCUAGAAAGGUGAAAUUAUACUUUGAACUCCUUAAAUUCCAGAAAUGAAACUCUUCACUGCCCUGUUCUGUUCGGUAAGGUUUGACCAUGAGAGAGGCUGAAUUAGCCUUAGCACAAAACAUGAAAGUUGUAGAUAAUGAUAUUUUAUAGCUGUCUGUAAAAUUUCAACUCAAUCCGAGCACUAUAACACAUGAAAAGAUAAAAAUACCCCUGACUACCAUAGGUAGAGUUUUGUGACAGUUUUGACAUUUCACCAAUCUGACCGCGUCUGUUCACCCUGAUCCAUACUGAAUUAGUAUUUGGCCAAAACGCAGAAGUUGUAGUACUAUGUCUUAGCUUUCUAACAGUCCUGAAAACGCCUUAAUCAGACUUCGAUAACUUGAGUUAUUGUCGUUUACGCAUAGUGCGGUUAACUAGCCCGAAUAUGAGAUUCUGGUUCUGUAAUUUGAAUUUUUGACCUGGAUACACUACGAACUGGACUGAGUGGUCUUCAUCAAAGUUGUAGGCCUUUAUUUUAGCUUCAAAACGAUAUAAAUUGUACCCUAAUUCGAUAAGCGUAGCUUCGAUUGUGCCCGUUACGCUAAGCGACGGCAAAUCUGUCUUUUGUUUUCUGACUUAAAUUUCAUUUUCGGACAUUUUCCUACCUUGAAUUUGUGCUUGUACGACUUUGAUCCUAUUGAACGGCUAUGGAAAUGAGAUUAUUUUGUGUGUGAUUUUGGGACUGAUUGAGAAAAAGAGUGAAGCCAUAAAUUGAUGUAAAAUAGGUAAAUAUAAAGGGCGUGCCGCCCAAAUUUACGCUCGAGAGUUAGGUAGAUAUACUUGCGACUCAAGUAAAGCUUGAGAGCGAAUACCACGUGAACCAUCUAGGCUAUUGCGUUUUCUUUUAUCGAGGUAUAUAAAUUAGAAUUUGGCCGAACUUGUACCCUUCAAAAAUGAAAGUAAUUAUCGAUAGAAAUACGUUUUCCUCGUUCUUUCGACUCCAAUAGGAGUUCUAAAGUUUUAACCGCUUCUUUAUCGAAACUAAACGAGCGAGCAUAAAUUUUUCAGAAUUUGAUAAGUAUCUUGAAUACUACUUAAACGAGUUGCAUUUACUUAAUUUUUUUGAAACGAAACUCCUAUGUUUCGAAUUCUAGAGAGUUUUACAUUCGUAAAUGAUAUUUUAUCGCAGAUUUGGACUCCAACCAAAGAGUUGGACUUGAACGUGACUUUUGAGAGGCACUAGACCUUUAGUGAGUGCUUCCAAAUACCUGAUUGAACAGGACACUUGUUGUCAAUACUUGAUCAAUGUAAAUACAUGAUAUGUGAUUUGUUUGAUCGGCCAAGAGUGUACUUUAUCACACUUGUCCUAAUAUGGUAUAUACUUAUUUAUUAUUGCAAUUAACGUGAUAUACUUGUACUUGAGUUGUAAGUGUGGAGCGGCAGUAUGUACUACACUCAAUCCGAGUAGGAGGUGCCUCUCAUUCCCGUCUCCGUACUUUUAUUUUGAUUCAGUCGAUUGGAGAUGUUAUCUCAUCGAAUUCUUGGAAACCUAAACCCCAUUGACUAAUUAAUCGAGUCGAGCCGGCAAGGGUUUGGUCAAUUAGAUAACGAACCAUGGGUAGUUAGUGAUGUCCAGUGGAGUGUUAUCUUUUCGACUAAUCGGUAUACUCGAGUAUUAUCACCAGUGUUUAUCGUAGAGUUCGGGCCCGAUAAUGGAUUUGGUUGGUGGACGGAGAUUGGAGUUAAGUGGUGUACUACUGGACUAGUUACUUUACUUGAAAGUUGACGGAGUGUCAACUAAUACUUGAUCAAGUUCUGGUGAAGAAAUGGGAAUUCGGCUCCUGAGAGCCAUCUGUAUCCUUAUACAUUGAUUGUUAUUCAAAGUGUUAUUGUUGUUUUGGAAAACUAGGGAUGUACGCGAGUCGAGCUACUCGCGAGUAGCUUGGUCAACGGCUUGGCUCGAACUCGGGUUGACCGAGUUCCAGCCGAGUUUCGAGUAGCUCGAUUGGCGUUCGAGUCUCAAAUUUUUGGCUCAAGACUUGUCGAGUAGAUUGUCGAGCCGGGCUAUUUAUAUAAUAUAUUUAUAAUUUAAAUAAUAUAUAUGUAUUAUAAUUAUAAAAUGACUAUUAUGGAUAUAGGUUAUAUGAAAUUUACAAUAUACUCUUCUUUAUAAUAAAAUUUUAUAAGGGUAAAAAAAUAAUAACAUAAUUAUAAAAAUACCUAAAAAGAAAAAAUGUCUAAAAAAUGCCUCAAUUUUUUGGUCGAGUCGAGUCAAAAAACUUGAUUAGACUCGGUUUGAUAAGACUUGACUAAGGGUCGAGCCUUAUCGAGUCGAGUUUCGAGCUUAGAGCGAGUACAUCGAGUCAAAUUUCGAGUAUCAAUUUUUUUGACUCGAUCGAGAUCGAGUUGAGCUCGAGCCUAGGGAUAUAUGAGUCGAGUCGAGCUUGAGUAUAGCAUUACUCGAGUUUGACUCGGCUCGAUUACAUCCCUAUGGAAAACAAAAAGAGUUUUCACUCGCUCAUUUUGACAUUUGCUAUUUGAAGUGUUAUUGCUCACUUUCAUGAACUUGUUAUACUCACUAUUUUGCUACGUGAUAUUUGUACUUUUCAAUAAUGGUCAACUUGCUAUUUGGAACCUCACUGGGCUUUUAGCUCAUUUCACGCCAUUUAUUUUCCUUACAUGGGGUACGAGCGAGACGUGAGACUUGUACAGACUAGCGUAGUCUAGUUUUUUUUUUAUUUUGAUAUUGUACUCACGCCAACACCCGUCUAGGGUUGAUUUUAGUUUGGUUAUAAAUAAUUUAACGUUUUGGGCAUAUAUAAAUUUGUAGCUGGAUUUGAACAUCAAUGUAUAUGUAAAGUUUGAGAUUGUUGUUUCAUUUCUUCUCUAUGGACGCGGUAUCUUUCUCGAGUUACGCGUGAGUGAGUCCUGACGAGAGUUGGGCAGGCGGUCCGCUAAACCCUGGGGUACGCCUUAGGGGGAGGUGGAGUCGUCACAACGUGGCUAUCCAAUAGGUAUAUGGAGAUAAUCAAGUCUAACACAAAAAUGCCCGUUAGGGAGUUUAGGCAAACUGUUUAUGAGGAUUAUGAGGUUGAGAUUUCUAAAUGGGUGGCUAGAAAAACAAGAGCCAAGACUAUACAGCUUAUUAAGGGGUCUGCAGAGGUACAAUACAAGAAAAUUUGGGAAUAUUGCAAUGAGAUAAAGAAGACACGUGACGGAAGUAUUAUGGAGGUCAUGUUUACCCCAUUCAGACUGCCUACAAGUAAUCCAAGAUUCAUGCGACUAUACUGCUGCCUUAGGCCACUUAAGCAAGGCUUUAAGGAUGGUUGUAGGCCUAUUAUAGGCUUAGAUGGAUGCCAUCUAAAAGGCACUUAUCCAGGACAAUUACUUACUGCUCUUGGAGUGGACCCUAACAAUGGUUAUUGGCCAAUUGCAUGGGCAGUUGUGGAGAAAGAAGCCACAGAACAAUGGAAAUGGUUUCUGAAGUUGUUGAGUGAGGAUUUGGAAAUAGAAAACCAAUACCACUACACUUUUAUCUCUGACCAACAAAAGGUUAUGCACUAUAUCAUUGUAAUCUGGUUUCUAUCGUCAAGUUAGGUGUUUACUUUUCUAUUUAUAUUGUAAGGACUGGACAGAACAUUAGUUUAGGUGCUUCCAAAACUGUGAGCACCGAUAUUGUGUGCAGCAUUUAUAUAAAAAUUUUAAGAAAAAACAUUCAGGAGACGCGUCGAAAGAGAGAUUUUGGAAUAUUGCAUAUUGUACUACAUCUAAGCACUUCAAUGAGGCAAUGUCAAACCUUGAGAUGUAUGACAAGGAAGCACAUAGCUGGGUGAAAAAGGCACCUCAUCCUCGGCAUUGGUGCAAGACAUUUUUUCCAAUUCAUACCAAAUGUGAUAUACUAGUAUAUCUUUCAAUGAUAUACUAGUCACUAUAUCAUUGUAAUCUGGUUUCUAUCAUCAAGUUAGGUGUUUACUUUUUUAUUUAUAUUGCAGGGACUGGACAGAACAUUAGCUUAGGUGCUUCCAAAACUGUAAGCACCGAUAUUGUGUGCAGCAUUUAUAUAAAAAUUUUAAGAAAAAACAUUCAGGAGACGCGUCGAAAGAGGGAUUUUGGAAUAUUGCAUAUUGUACUACAUCUGAGCACUUCAAUGAGGCAAUGUCAAACCUGGAGACGUAUGACAAGGAAGCACAUAGUUGGGUGAAAAAGGCACCUCAUCCUCGGCAUUGGUGCAAGACAUUUUUUCCAACUCAUACCAAAUGUGAUAUACUAGUCAAUAACCUUUGUGAAUCUUUCAAUGCUCAUAUCCUUGAAUUCAGAGAUCAUCCUAUAAUUUCACUACUGGAGACUAUCAGAGAAUAUAUUAUGGAUAGGAUUCAACAAAGAAAGGCAGCCAUGGAGAAAUGUAAAGGUCCUAUUGGACCAUUGCCCACCAAAAUUGUUGAUGAGAGGGUGAAGCAUUCAACUCACUGGAAUCCUAUUUGGAAUGCUGCUGUUGGUUAUCAAGUGAAGAGCCCUAAAUGAAACCAAUAUGAUGUAGACCUAAAAAAAAGGCAUUGCACGUGCAAAUUGUGGGCCGUAAGUGAAAUUUCUUGCUGUCAUGCAAUAGCAGCAAUUCAUAGGAAUAAUGGAAAUUCUUAUAACGAAGUUGAAGGUUGCUACAAUGCAGAUCUAUUUUUGAAGAUAUAUUGUAAUAUCUUCGAACCAAUUAGUGGUGAAAUUUUAUGGCCCCCAUCCAUCAUGUCUAUAUUGGACCCACCACUCACUGUUGCUCAACCUGAGAGGCCAAGAAAGGCUCGAAAGAGAGACAUCACAAAAGGAAAAAAUCAUGGUAGAAAACUGAGAAGGAGAAUUGUUAUACAUUGUAGAAAGUGUGGAAAGGUAGGUCACAAUACAGCUACAUGCUGCAAAGAAGGGUCUACUCAAUCUAAUCAAGUAGAAGAGGAUACUGAUAUUGGUGUACAUACUCCACAGGGUGCAGAAAAUUCUAAAAGUCCAAAGUCUUCUACGAGGCCAUCUAAAAGGCAGACUGUAAGUGUAUAGAAAUUGUGGUAUAUAUGAAAUGGUAGAUUAAAAUCUUACUUUUUGCUAUUUGCUGCCAUUGACAGGUUAGAAAGGACCAGUAAAAGAAGAAAAAAAGAAAUGUGCAGCGAUGAUCUCCUCAAGUUGACGAGGCAUAUGAGCAUCAACGUUCGGGAUUUGAAUUUGAACACCAACAUGAGCAUCAGAAGAGACACAUCAACAACAAGUGGAUCAGCAAGACCACCAAUCAUCAUUCCAGCAUGGCGCUAAUCUUCAAGAACAGCAGGCCUCUUGUAGCAUUCCUUUAACACAGAAACUACCUCAUAAGAGGCAGAAGCAGAAAAAUUCAACAAACCAGCCUUUAACAGAUAUUGAUAAAGGAUUUAUCAAUCUAAACUACACAUAUUUUGGCAGGCAACCUCCCUACCUCCCUUCACUAUUGGGAAUUGGAAGGGAAAAUGGAGUGGCAGGGGCAGAGGAAGAGCUGGUAGAUGAAGGGGAACUGGAGGUACAAAAGGAUAGACAGCAGCUUAAUACAACAACACCCACUGUUUUGCAAACCUAGCAGUACUUUAUUAUUGGAUCUUUUUUGACUGGGAAACGUCUUUUGUCUUUUGUAAUAGACAGCUUUUAACCAAGUAAUGGUUUUGUCCAACUGCUUAGCUUUUUCUGUAUAAGUGGAUUAGUUUUUUGUCUACUAAUUGUUAAAUGGUCAAGCUUGACUAUUGUUUUGACUGCUAUGUUGGAUGGUAUCCACUUGUAAAUGCAUAUAACAGGGCAUUUUGUUUUGUUUUGUUUUAUUCUGGUUUCUACUAUUAUUUUUAGCACUCAUUCAAUGUCAAUUGGAUGGUACAAUUUUUGUUGGAUGGUACCCACUAUUUUCUCUUGUAAAGCUAUGUUGGAUGGUACCCAUUGUUUUAUUCUGUUUUGUCUACUAAUUGUUAAAUGAAUGUCGUCUUCAUGUGUGGCUGCCAACCUGCCAUUACAAUUUCACAGCUACACCAGUUUAGAUCAAACUUCAUUCUAUUACUUCCAUUCUUCCAAAAGCAUAGAGUACAAUUCAACUGCAUAUUCGUUAGCCUAGCUAACACUACAAAAGGCCAAUACAGUGUGGCAAGAUUACAACACAAUUUUUACAUUAUCUUAAAAUCAGAUUACUCCAUCAGCAACUUGAUAGAUACAAUUUUCACAUGAACACAAUUUUCGUAGAGCUUCUUCAAUUUGCAGCAUUCCAGAAGUCCAUCUUUCAUCUCGAGGCCAAACCACCAUUAAUAAGAUUAAAACCCAAGAGAGUACCAGUAGUCUUACAAGCCACUUCCUAAUAUGCUUUUGUCUCGCCAAGUCGUGCUCCAUGUCCUUCACUUUCACCUUCAACUUUGCAGCUUUUGACUCCAAUUUGGUUAGUACAAUUUGCAAUUCAUCCUUUGGUUGCUCAGUUGCAUUCACCUUUCUUAGAAGAUCGGGUAUCACCUCAAUUGAGUGACGACACAUUUUCCCAUCGAUCCAAUCCCAACACUCGCAACCCCCAUCUGCUUAUACUGCAUACCUCCUGCCAGGAUUUCGAGAUGUCCACGAAGUCACCAUCUUUAUCGAUUUACCGUAGGGGCACAUAGGGAGAGUUGGAGUGUUCAAUCUCCUGAUUUUCGGCUCAAUUGAGACCAAAAAUCUACUAGUACCACUCCUACAAGUUUCAGAUGGAGUGAAAAUGGAGAAGAAGGAGAUUUUUAAGGCAAGUCCCUCUGCUGUGUUGACAAGAUUGCCCCUAACAAAUAUUAUGAGAGUAGUUCGUGAUGUCUCUCCCGUCCAUCUUAACAGCAAAAUUGGACGGAUGGACUAGAAAUAUACACUUUUUUUAAUUCGAGAAUUACAUUCGCGUAAUUAUUAGUUGGAGGAUUAAAAGUGUGUAAAAUUUAAAGUUGGAGAACCACCGCAAUUUUUUGCCCUAAAAAAUAUAUUCACAGAAAAAGCGAGAUUAGAUCUAGAAGUUGCAUAUGCAAGGUACUAGUAUAACUUACUCAAAAGUCUCUUUAAACUUUACAUAGUUUGUAGAGUGACACUUUUAAUUGUAUACUUUUGGCACUUUUAAUCAUAUAAUUUAAAUUAUAACUAAUUAUUAUACAUCUAACCCCACUUUUGUAAUCAAAUUAGGUGGUGAACUUUUCAAGAAUUUAGUGUUACCUUGCCCCCCAAAAAAAAAUAGAAUUUAAAGGAAAAGCAUAGUGCCUUUGAAGCCAAAAGGCAAGCAUGGUGCCUUUGAAGCCAAAAGCCCAUUUACAUGACUUCAUAAGGAGGGAGGAAGCAGAGUCGCCAACAAAAUCUCAUCAUCCCAUUUUUCCCGCCUAUCCGCCCUUUGUAUUUAAAAAACCCUUCUUCCCCGCCUCCUCCUUCUUAUGCUUCAUUCUAGGGUUUCUCGAUUCCUCUCUCUCUCUCUCUCUCUCUCAUAACCUGUAAGCUACUCAUCUGUUUGCUGAAAAAUGAAAUCCAGAAUCCGAAUCUGCAGCAGCAUCAGAUCACCGCCAUCCACAUUCUGCAGAUACUACUUGAAGCCCGGAGCAUUAGCCCAAUUCAGGAAUUCCAAAAUCACCGCCAAAUUCAAAGCAAAAGAAAAUUUGAAUUUUACCCAGAUUUCACUCUACAAACUCAAACCCACCUCUGAAUUGACCUUGCGGCCAUCUAUUUCCGACAUGGAGGCGAUUCCUUGUUUCACUUUUAGCUUCAAGAAUAACCGCAGUGCUCCUCGCUGCCUUCUCCGGAAGAAACUCAUCGCUGUCACCCCGAUAUUUUCCGAGUUGUAGUCGGAAACUUGAGUUGGGAUCUCUAAUUUCUUUUGUUCAUUUUUUUAUCCAUUAUCGGUUGUGAUUGUAGUAGCAAAGCUGAAAUUACAGUAAUCAUUAUACUAAAAAAAAUACCAUAUGUAUGAUGUAGAAACUCAAAAAUUAAUAAAAAAAAGUACUGUCUUUCUUCUUUCUUUUUUGAAUAUGGGUUGUUCAUUGGCAGUUAUCACCUAUGUUUAUAGUGGAUUGAUUAUAGAAGUAAUUCGUGCGGAACUCAGUUUUGUUUAAAUUUUUUUUCUCUUGUGGGUGACGGGUUUUAAAUCAAAUGAAGAACGAUGUCUAUGUUGGAGAGGUUUGAUAUUUUGCUUGUUUUAUUUUUACUAGUGCAAUGUGGAAAUGCCUAAGGUGUGUAAGUGUCCUACUUAGGGUAAUUUAAAUGGAUCAUCAAAUAGCAAUUUCUUCUCGUUCUGAUUUUCCCAGGCCUGGCAAGCAUCGAAUCACUAAUAGGACAAUGGAGCAAAGUAGAGGGUUUAAUUGACUUUGAGUUUCCUUAAUACAGGACUCUCAGCUCUCAAACACUCCAGUUAUGUUUGUACAGGAUAAGCUCAUUAAUAUAAAAGAAGACCAGUAUCAGUUUUUUUUUUUUUUUUUUGUCAAAAUGUCGCUUACUUUUCUAUUAAUAGUUAAUGCCUUUACAACAGUAUACAAAAGGGUGCAACUGCUCCAUCAGAACUGUGAUGCUCCUUUGAGCCACAGGGGGAAGGUUCUUUCCCACUUAACAUCAUGUAUCAGUUUGGUUGCAAAUUUUGCAAGCUUAAAACUAACUCUAUCUUCCUGCUGACUAACUAAUGAGAAUUUACACUUCCAAAAGGAUGCUUGAAGUUGCUUUAUAUCUCUGAUGAUUACUGCUAGCUGGGAUUCAUCUUCAGCAUCUUCAUUCAGUCUAUCUAUCAAGGCUUUACACUCAGAUUGGAUCUCUAAAGAAGCCCACUGUUUCUCCAUUGCAUAUAGCAGUCCUGCACGAAUUGCUAAAGCUUCAGUUAAGAUCCUAUCUCCACUGAAAGUCAAAGGAAUCGCCCUUGUCGCUGUUGGCUUCCUACUGUUAUCUCUGACUACUAUGCCUAAUCCUGCCUUUUUCCUCACUCUAUCAACAGCUCCACAGGUGGACAUUUUCAUAGCUCCUGGAAGCCCAGUAUCAGUGGCUGGAUAAUCUUUUAAAGGAUUUGAUUUGUUUCUUGGACAAAACUGCUAUAGACCUAAAGCUUUUCUGGCUCUUUCAUCUCCAGACUACAAAAUUAUCUUAGUCUGCUAAAGUCUGAACUAGAAGUUGAGGAGAAAUAUCUUGCUGUCUGUCCCAGAUAUUUCCUCCUUUGUGUCCUUUUUUCAGCUACAAGCCGAUGUUUCGUUUACAACUUGUAUUGUGGAUAUUCAUUAGUUUGUUGCCCAUGGUAUUUGCAUUUGAAGCUAGUUUGAGAUGUCUUAAUGAGCUCCAUGUCACCAUCAACAGCUCAUUAAAAGCUAAUUAUGCAAGCGGCACAAUGCGACUAGUCAUGAAAAGUUCAUUCGUUUAGCAUAUUUGCUAUUUAACUCUGUAGCUACUGGGAUCUCUAAUAAUAAUGUCUAUAGUUUGGUUUGAUGCUAAUGAAACCAAAGUAAGAAGAAGGCUCAUAUGUCCUCGAGAAAUUGGCAGAGCAAAUCAAUUGAUAGUAGCAGUAUCGAGAUGUUGCUGCAAGUUAUUUCAGCCAGCAGCCUGGGAGGUAACAUACAUAAAGGCUACACCCCAAAAAUGGUCCAGUCUCAUGGUGGCAUGGGAGCUUCCAGAAGGAAUGGCAGAAAUUGAAGAUACUUGAUUUUCUUCACAUACUAGGAAAAGAGCCAUUUUUCCAACAGUUGUACUCUGCAUUUUUCAAAGUUAAGCUAGGAAGAAGUAAAGUACAGAGCAAAUUAUCUAAGACUACCUCAUAGCAGCCAAGAGCAUAUGAGUUUAGAUUAUCUGAAUAAUUAGCUUUCAAGCUGACUUGAGAUGAACUAUUGUGUAAUCAUAAUGACAUCUUUUGUAGAUAUAGGUCCCAGAAAAAUGAUCAAGCUACUGGACAUAAAAAUGAAUUUCAUAUGGUGAAUGUUUUACAUAUAAACUGAGAUCUCAUGCCACGAAGUAAACUAACCAUCAGAUGAAGAAAAAAAAAUGCCCGGUGCAGUGUCAAGUAAUUCUGCUGUUUCUGUAGCAGUAGAUUUAUGAAAACAAUUUAAAAUGUCCUAGCGAUCAAGAAAAUAUGUUGAGCUAAAACUUUCUGAAUUAAUAUAAGAGGUAUUACACAAGAUGACUCAAAAAUAAAAGUUUCAAAGAUGCAGAAACACUCUCAUGUCUCCAAAAUACAUUGUGGUUCUCAUAUUGCAUGAAGUUUGUAUGUGGUUGGAAGUUACAACACGAAACUGUCUACUCUACUUUACAGUUCUUAAAUAAGCAUAGUUUGAUGAAAAUGGAAUUUUCAACAAAAAUACCUAUAGUGAAGCACAAUCAUGGGAGACAAUUAGAAUGCUCAAGUCAAAGCUUUGGCUCCAGCAACAAUUUCCAAUAUCUCUCCUGUAAUCUUGGCCUGACGCUCUCUGUUGUAGGCUAUAGACAGGGAUUUCUUCAAUUCACUAGCAUUGUCAGUCGCAUUGCUCAUUGCAGUCAUCCUAGCAGCAAGCUCACUAGCCAGUGACUCCUGCAAUGACCUCAAAAUUUGACUAUUUAAGUAAAGAGGGAGUAAGGCAUCAAGGAUCUGAACAGGGUCCUGCUCAAAUUGCAAGAUCGCCGAAAACUCUGCUGUUUUAGUCCUCAUAAUGUCUCUUUCCACUGUCAAUUUGCCUUCCUUGGUUGUCAAUCUGAAGAACUCAUCCUCGGCUGCAUCAACACAGUUCCCAUUUAUGUCACAGAUCUCUCCUUUUGGAGACAACGGAAGCAGAGUGUGAAUCACUGGUUCGGCCUUCACUAAUGAAACGAACUUAGUGUACAAAAGCUCUACCUUAUCCACCUCUUCACUUAUGAAAAGGGAGAAGACAUCAUCUGCAAUUGCUUGAGCUUCUUUAGCAGUGGGAAGAGAAGUACCAUCAAGAAAUCUGUCUACCGGAAUAUAAGGCCUGCGGAUAAAAUAUGCGUUACCCUUUUUCCCCACACUGAUUAUAGUGUAAUCAAGGCCAAGUCCCUUCAAUUCUGCUA